AUGGCCAUAUCAUGUGUGAAACAUUGGUUUCCAUACAAUUACUGAAGUUAAGCAACAUCGAGCCUGGUCAUUAUCUUGAUGGGUGACUACUUGGGAAUACCAGAUGCUGUAAG